rnacentral:lncRNA from 1 species
AUUUCAUAUGUAAUCGAUUUGAACAACAAUUUUAUCAUUUUAUCAGCCUACUAGUAUCCAUUGGGGUUUAUAGGGAUGUUCUCACAACGUGUGAACCCUUUUUUUUUAACAUUUUAAAUUAACGGGUCGUCCCCAUACCCCGUCUGGUAUGAGUGCCAAAGUACUAAACCUCAAUACCCCGUCCGGUAUGAGGGUGAAACGGGUCGUCCCCAUAUCUCGUCCGGUAUGAGUGUCAAAUUAUC